GAUUCCUUCAUGAGAUAAGGAUGAACAUCAGGUUGGGUGGAGCUCUAUAUAUAUAUACGUUGCAUUCCUGCCGAGCUGAUCACAGCACACCAUUUAGCCCAUUGCACACCAUAUAGUUAGCUCCAAUCUCGCAGCUUCACAACAUGUAUUUUAUGCCUGUGAUCAUGGGGCGAGACAGGUUCCUGGAUUUCCUGGAAAGAGCUGACGAGAACAAGGAUGGACGCAUAAGCAGGGAUGAGCUCCGCAACGCUCUCAAGGCCGCAGGUCUCCGGUUCACAACAGUCAAGGCAUGGUUGGCGAUGAGGAAAUGUGACCACAACCGGAAUGGUGUCAUCGAGGGCGACAAGGAAAUGGCGUCGCUUUUGAGUUAUGCGAAUCAGAAAUGGAACGUCCUCGUUAUGUAGACAGGAGAAGGGUCUCUCGGUUUGGAGUUCUCUCUUCUGGUCGUCUAAAGCUUUGGAUGUAACUCUUGCUGAUAGCAGAAUGUGAAUGAAGUGAUAGUUGUCAAGGAAAUGAUGCGUGCAUGUGUCUCCACUGGAUGAAGACCUCUCGCUUCUCUUUGCAAAGAAACUUGAACCUGCAUUUCCUUGUCAUGAGUGAACAUUAUCGCAUAGUACUCUAUUAGGAUAAGAGUAUUAAUUUUUUAUUUAUAAUUUUUAAUAAAACCUUCUUAAAUCUCCCUCGACGUCUUCUCGUAAUAUUAAUAAUUUCAUUACUCAUAGGCAGUAAUUUAACACAACCAUUUACCUUUUUUAUUGAGGGUUUCAGACAUUUGAUCAUAAAGCAAAUGAAUACACAACUUGUAAUUUAAUAUUAGUUGAUAUAUGUAUAUAUAUAAUUCAAAGAGUAGUAAUUAAAAAAAUAUUUCUUCCAGGAAGAAAUGUUAGGGUAGGCUUUAUCAACAAAAUGAGUGAUUGAUCAAAGUUGAUAUACAUUAGAUCAAAUAUCAAUUCAAUCUAAAAAUUGAAGUUCAUUAAAGUGUGGGUCAAACCCGAUAUAUGUUAUCUAAUUCUUUCAAUCCUGAAUAGUAUGAGACUAUUUCUACAAUUUUCAACCUCCUUUCGUGAUUAUAGUCUUAAUAACAUAGUGCCAUAAAAGAUGUCUAUAUUUAAGUACAUGUAUAUUUUUAGGUGUAAAUAUUUUGGAUAAGCACAUAAUGUUAGUUUUAGGAGCUUUCUACUACUGCACACAACAAUAAAGAAAACAAAACAAAGUUGCAGGAAAGAUCUUUGCAAUAUGCUGAUUACAAACAACAGUAACGUAUGCUAUUUGGUGUGAUCGUUGUGGGACCUUAUGAGGUCCGCAGAUGGCAGUAUUCGGAUUUAUUGGGGUCCAUAUACUCCUUUCUCCUCCAUUUUGUAUGAUGCACAGUGCUGAUUCCUCCAGUCUACCUCCUACCUUUAUCCCAGCAUAUCUUAUUCUUGAUAUGGUGGUGGUCAAGCAUAUAAAUGCCAAUUAUUUGAUGUCACAGAUGGGCCAAGUAUUCUUGGCUUUGGAUAACGCCCAUUGUUGAUUCCUCCUGUCAGUUCUAAUGGCUUUAUGCUGCCACGCAUCAUGCAUUAUCUUCUUUGGAUAAUGGUCACUGAGCUAUUCAGUUAAUGUGAUGCCUUGGUGUACACUUGGAAGUGUAAUGGCCUCAAGGCAUCUCUUCUGCAAAUUGCUUUGAACUGCUGUAUUGCUAUGAGAAAUUUUUCGACAAGGAUCUUCCCUCUUUUGUUUGAAGCACAUUGCAUGCAACUUGUGCCACUGAACAUGUGGAGAAUAAGGAUGGUGGGUACGACAGAAAGAAUAAGAACAAGACUUCAUCGUUAAGCUUAGCUUUCGGUGAUUCCUUUCUGAGAGAUAAGGAUGCAACAUGAGGGUGGAGCUCUAUAAAUAGGUUCCAUGCAUGCCGAGCUGAUUACAGCACACCAUAUCUUUAGCUCUAAUCUUUCAGCUUCCAACAUGUAUAUUAUGCCAACGAUCAGCAUGGGGCAACGUGAGUUCUUGGAUCUCCUGGAAAGAGCUGACGAGAACAAGGACGGAUUCUUAAGCAAGGAUGAGCUCCGCAACGCUCUCAAGGCCUCAGGUCUACAUUUCACGAGAUUCAGGACAUGGUUUGCGAUGAGAAAAUGUGAUCUCAACAAGAAUGGCGUCAUCGACGGCGACAACGAAAUGGUGAAGCUGUUGAGUUAUGCGCAGAAGAACUGGAACAUCAGCGUUAAUUAGAGAGAAGGAAGUCUAUCAGUAAGUUUGGAGUGCUUUAUGUGGCUAUGCUAAGCUCUUAAGCUUUAAAUGUAACUCUUACUACAAGCAAAAUGGAUAUGACUAUGGUGCGUGUUCGUGUCUACUGUGGAUGAACUCCUCUUUCUUAGUUUUCCAAAGAAUAUUAUCAACCAUGAAAAAUUAUAUACUACUCAAUACAUUUUACCUCCAACUCUCCAAAUCUUCAUCACUCAUUCUACUCUUAUCAGCUCUCAUCUAUCCUUUGUGAUAGAGUGUUAUUCUAUCAAAUUUUUAUGGUAAAACCUACAGAAACAUUCAAGAGAGGAAAAAAGAUUUUGUGUGUGUGUGUAUAUAUAUAUAUAUAUAGGGGUAAAACUACAAAAGCAUGUAAGUUAUCCAUCAAGUCAGCUUCACAUGAAAAGGUGUUUAUGUUCAGUUCCUCUACCCAUAUAAAUAUUGUCGUAGAUGAUCUGUAAGCUACAUUUUGAGACGUUAGAUAGCUGCAUGUGUAAGAUACCUACGGGGCCAUCUCCAUGUUACGAUCAUCCUUGUCAUUAUACAUACAAAGGAAGACCGCACUUCCUCCCACAUGGCUUUGUUGGUCUCUGUGUUGCUUUGGUGUCCUCAACCUACUCCCAUACCACCUAAGACAGACUCGAAGACUAAUCUUGGAGCACGACGUCCAACCAUAGUGA
rnacentral:lncRNA from 1 species